UACGAAGGGGGCUAGCGUUGCUCGGAAUCACUGGGCGUAAAGCGCACGUAGGCGGCUUGUUAAGUCAGGGGUGAAAUCCUGGAGCUCAACUCCAGAACCGCCUUUGAUACUGGCGAUCUCGAGUCCGGGAGAGGUGAGUGGAACUGCGAGUGUAGAGGUGAAAUUCGUAGAUAUUCGCAAGAACACCAGCGGCGAAGGCGGCUCACUGGCCCGGUACUGACGCUGAGGUGCGAAAGCGUGGGGAGCAAUCCGG
rnacentral:rRNA from 1 species